UACAGAGGUCUCAAGCGUUGUUCGGAUUCAUUGGGCGUAAAGGGUGCGUAGGCGGCGCGGUAAGUCGGGUGUGAAAUCUUGGAGCUUAACUCCGAAACUGCAUUCGAUACUGCCGUGCUUGAGGACUGGAGAGGAGACUGGAAUUUACGGUGUAGCGGUGAAAUGCGUAGAUAUCGUAAGGAAGACCAGUGGCGAAGGCGGGUCUCUGGACAGUUCCUGACGCUGAAGCAACGGAAGGCCAGGGGAGCAAACGGG
rnacentral:rRNA from 1 species